GUGGGGAAUCUUGGACAAUGGGCGCAAGCCUGAUCCAGCCAUGCCGCGUGAGUGAUGAAGGCCCUAGGGUUGUAAAGCUCUUUCGCCAGGGAAGAUAAUGACGGUACCUGGAUAAGAAGCCCCGGCUAACUCCGUGCCAGCAGCCGCGGUAAUACGGAGGGGGCUAGCGUUGUUCGGAAUUACUGGGCGUAAAGCGCACGUAGGCGGCUAUCCAAGUUGGGGGUGAAAUCCCUGGGCUUAACCCAGGAACUGCCUUCAAAACUGGAUGGCUAGAGUCCGAGAGAGGUGAGUGGAAUUUCCAGUGUAGAGGUGAAAUUCGUAGAUAUUGGAAAGAACACCAGUGGCGAAGGCGGCUCACUGGCUCGGUACUGACGCUGAGGUGCGACAGCGUGGGGAGCAAACAGG
rnacentral:rRNA from 1 species